rnacentral:rRNA from 1 species
ACAUCCAGAGAAUUUGGCAGAGAUGCCUUAGUGCCUUCGGGAACUCUGAGACAGGUGCUGCAUGGCUGUCGUCAGCUCGUGUUGUGAAAUGUUGGGUUAAGUCCCGCAACGAGCGCAACCCUUAUCCUUUGUUGCCAGCACGUAAUGGUGGGAACUCAAAGGAGACUGCCGGUGAUAAACCGGAGGAAGGUGGGGAUGACGUCAGGUCAUCAUGGCCCUUACGAGUAGGGCUACACACGUGCUACAAUGGCGCAUACAAAGAGAAGCGACCUCGCGAGAGCAAGCGGACCUCAUAAAGUGCGUCGUAGUCCGGAUUGGAGUCUGCAACUCGACUCCAUGAAGUCGGAAUCGCUAGUAAUCGUAAAUCAGAAUGUUACGGUGAAUACGUUCCCGGGCCUUGUACACACCGCCCGUCACACCAUGGGAGUGGGUUGCAAAAGAAGUAGAUAGCUUAACCUUCGGGAGGGCGUUUACCACUUUGUGAUUCAUGACUGGGGUGAAGUCGUAACAAGGUAAGCGUAGCGAG